rnacentral:lncRNA from 1 species
AAGUAUCAAAUUUAAUUAUCAAAUAAACAAAGAAAAAGAUCCAAAUGAAAUCAACAUCCAGACUUAGGGUUUUAUCUGAUAGAAUUCCACGAGUUUUGGUGUUUGUCUAUUUCUGCAGGGGGUUAUCAGGAAAUACGGAAGAAUGGCCCACACGUCGGGAUUACAUAGAGAUAUCAACGUGCCACGCAAUUAUCUUACAUCUAGAAGACUCCAGAAGCCACGGGAAGGAAGCAGAGGCCGAACGGGGCCAGGCACUGGGCGCCUGCCCAGUUGACCUGGGCGCCCGCCCCCUCCUAGAGUCCAAACAGGACUCUCUUUCUGGAAUUGGGCGCCCGCCCAGUUCGUGAUAGUGACAGCUUCAUUGAUUCUUAUAUAGUCCCCCUCUCAUGUAUUGAGCUGGCAGAGCAAUAUUAUUACAGGGGAG